rnacentral:tRNA from 1 species
GAUCUUAUAUUCAAAGAAUGAUAUUAGACUGCAAUUCUAAAGGUGUAGAUUAAUUACUAAGGUUU